rnacentral:misc_RNA from 1 species
ACUGAACUUUUUGGCACUGUUAUCACACUCGAUGAGUGGUCUGGAACAAUAAGAGUAGGAUCACAAGUUCUUCGAAAAUGGUUGGAGAAGAAGCUAGCCUCUUUGUUCUGUGACAGAAGCAAUGUAAUCCCAGUUUUCCAACUACAUGAUGUUGAUCCUUCAUCCGCAUUUGUAGCCCCACCAACAGCAAGUGGCAUCUCCAUGCCAAAUUCAAAUGGAGUGGAGUUUGGAUAUGGAUAGACACUAGUAAUGUCAGAUUCAGAUGGACCAGUAGAAAGACUCAACUCCAGAUCAACCUUGGGCUGCAAUUCUAGUUCUUUAAGAUUUGAACUA